rnacentral:rRNA from 1 species
GACGAACGCUGGCGGCGUGCUUAACACAUGCAAGUCGAACGGAAAGGCCCUGCUUUUGUGGGGUGCUCGGGUGGCGAACGGGUGAGUAACACGUGAGUAACCUGCCCUUGACUUUGGGAUAACUUCAGGAAACUGGGGCUAAUACCGGAUAGGAGCUCCUGCUGCAUGGUGGGGGUUGGAAAGUUUCGGCGGUUGGGGAUGGACUCGCGGCUUAUCAGCUUGUUGGUGGGGUAGUGGCUUACCAAGGCUUUGACGGGUAGCCGGCCUGAGAGGGUGACCGGCCACAUUGGGACUGAGAUACGGCCCAGACUCCUACGGGAGGCAGCAGUGGGGAGUAUUGCACAAUGGGCGGAAGCCUGAUGCAGCAACGCCGCGUGCGGGAUGACGGCCUUCGGGUUGUAAACCGCUUUCGCCUGUGACGAAGCGUGAGUGACGGUAAUGGGUAAAGAAGCACCGGCUAACUACGUG